AAUAUAAAAAGACAAAUGAAUAAAAAUUUCAAAUAUAAAAUGGAAAAAACUUUUAGUUUAGAAUGUAGAAAGAAAAACAAAAAAAAAAAACAAAUAGAGGAAAAAGAUAUAAAAUAUGAAAGAUGAAAAAUAAAAUAAAAGAAAGUGCACAAAAAAAGAAGUUUGAGGUUUUAAAAUUAUAAAGAAGAAAUAAAAAAAAGGUGUGAACAAAAAGAUUUAAGAAAAAAAUAAAAAAUGAAAAUGCAAAAUAUAUAAAAUAAAAUUUGAGAAAAAGAAGAAAAAA
rnacentral:lncRNA from 1 species